UACAGCUUGUUAAUUGGCUGGCUACAUUUAAAAAGAAACCAAUCAGCAAGCGCUAAACAGGUGUCACACCCAAAAAUGGCCACGCUUCUAAACUUAGAUUUUUUGUUUCGGAAAUGAGAUAUAAUCCAAAAAGAAGAAAAUAUAAAAAUUUUAUUAGUAUUGAAUUAUAAAUUUUUUUGGAAAUUCAAUGCUCUAUCAGAAUAAUGAAAUAAUAAUUUACACUAUACUAUUUCUUUAACAUGUAUUUUGUAUAUUCAGUUUCUCAAUCUUUAAUUUUAAUUAAAUUUUAAUUUGUUUAUAUGUACUAUAGAAGAACAUGAACAGGCAUUAGAAAAUGAAUUAGAAAAUGCCCAGGUGGACCUACCAUCCGAGUCUGAGUUGACUAGUGAACAACCCACAACAUCUUCAUGUGGUAUACCAUGCAGGGAAGAAACUACCAGUGUCAUGGGAUUACUACAAACUAUGCAGGAUUCGUCAAUUACAUUAUUUGAUGAUGAAAUAGAAAUCACAUUACAACCACUUGUAACUGACACAGUUUGUCAGGAGGAUGAUGAUGAUGAGACACAAAUAGAGGGACAAACAUCGACACAACUUGAAACACCACAUGUAGAGGAAUCAGAAUGUGAAGAA